rnacentral:lncRNA from 1 species
AUGCACCUGGGACAGCAGCAGAGGGUGGCCCAGGUCCGUGGGCCCCUGCACCCACGUGGGAGACCCGGAUGGAGCUCCUGGCUCCUGCCUGACCCAGCUCUGGUUGUUGCAGCCAUUUGGGGAGUGACCUGUGACCUCAUGGAUGGAAGAUCUCACUCGCUCGCUCACUCGCUCGCUCUGUGUGUGUGUGUGUGUCUUUCUCUCUCUCUCUCUAAAGCUAUGGCAGAGUCCCAGGCCCUGGCCCAGGGCUGCAGAAUCAAGGUGACCCCGGGCUCGGUCAAUCCACUGAGAGAAGCCAAGAGCUCAGCUUCUGUGGGUCCCUGCGCUGCAGCCUGGCUCCCUUGCUCUUUCCAGGCCUUGGGACCUCACCCCCUCCCCAACCUCAGAAACCCCUGGGGCGCCUGGCGCCUCGUGGGCCCUGGGGGAGGCUCCCGGCCGCCGCCCCCAAGUCUCGCUCUGCCCGUCCGAGUUUUUCCUUGUCGUUCUUCGAGAAGCACAAUUCCUCUCAGGGUGAGGGCAGCGAGGUGUCUGAGGGCGCGGCUGGCACGUGUGCCCGCGCCUCCCCUCAGGGCCGGCCGCAACGCGCCUGCGUCUACACCCGCUGGGGCUCGGGCAAGCAGCGCCCGGGAGCCCGCAGGACGUGGCGAACGGCGGCCAGAUCGCUGUUCUGCGGGCCCCGAAGGGGGCGCCGGGGAGGACGCGGCCCUCGGGGCAGCCUGGGCGGCUGCGGUGAGGCCUUGCUUCCCCCCACGACCCGCGGAGCCGCACUGCGGCCGCCAUGCCCCGCCGCCCGGACGCGCGGCGCCCACCCCGCACGCGGCCCGCCGGUUCUCGGUGGAGCGCGAGCGCCCCCGCGUGGCUCGCCGGGGAAUGCGCCGCGGUGUCCGCGGAGCCCGCGCGUGCCGGCGGCCGGCCGGUGGCCGAGUGGACGUCACGGGCGGAACGCGCGCUCCCCGGCCGUUCCUGGGCGCACGAAUCCAGUGGAUCAAGGAGGCUUUAGACAGGACGAGGACCGAGGGAGCGGCCACCGGCAGGCUGAGGCGGAGCCGGCGCGUCCGGCGGCCGCGGCCAGGCAGGGUCGUGGGCAGUGGCCCCGCUUCGACACGGCCCUGGUGCGAUCUGCGGCAGGGGCGGGCCAGCCUGGGCCCGCGCCCCGCACGCCGGCCGGGGACGGCCGAGGGGAGCUCUGGGCUCCUGCCGGCCGCAGGCGCAGCCGCAGCGUUUCCCGCCACUGCGAGAUGGCGCGCUGCGCCCUCGCUCGUCCGGCCGAUUCCGUCUGAUUUUCACUCGAGACCCGUGGGAGCCUAA